UACGGAGGGUGCAAACGUUGCUCGGAAUUAUUGGGCGUAAAGCGCACGUAGGCGGACCAUCAAGUCGGAUGUGAAAUCCCUCGGCUUAACCGAGGACGUGCAUUCGAAACUGAUGGCCUUGAGUACGAAAGAGGAUCGCGGAAUUCCCGGUGUAGAGGUGAAAUUCGUAGAUAUCGGGAGGAACACCAGUGGCGAAGGCGGCGAUCUGGGUCGAUACUGACGCUGAGGUGCGAAAGCGUUGGGAGCAAACAGG
rnacentral:rRNA from 1 species